UACGGGGGGAGCAAGCGUUGUUCGGAUUUACUGGGCGUAAAGGGCGCGUAGGCGGCCACCGCAAGUCAAUUGUGAAAUCUCCGGGCUUAACUCGGAAAGGUCAACUGAUACUGCGGGGCUAGAGUGCGGAAGGGGCAACUGGAAUUCUCGGUGUAGCGGUGAAAUGCGUAGAUAUCUGGAGGAACACCGGUGGCGAAGGCGGCAUCCUGGACCAACACUGACGCUGAGUGAGCGAAAGCCAGGGGAGCAAACGGG
rnacentral:rRNA from 1 species